rnacentral:rRNA from 1 species
CCUACGGGAGGCAGCAGUGAGGAAUAUUGGUCAAUGGACGAGAGUCUGAACCAGCCAAGUAGCGUGAAGGAUGACUGCCCUAUGGGUUGUAAACCUCUUUUAUAUGGGAAGAAUACAUGGUACGCAUAGCCUCAUGUAUGUACCUUAUGAAUAAGCAUCGGCUAACUCCGUGCCAGCAGCCGCGGUAAUACGGAGGAUCCGAGCGUUAUCCGGAUUUAUUGGGUUUAAAGGGGGCGUAGGCGGUUUGUUAAGUCAGUUGGUAAAGUUUGCGGCUUAACCGUAAAAUUGCAAUUGAAACUGUCAGUCUUGAGUGCAGACGAGGUAGGCGGAAUAAGUGAUGUAGCGGUGAAAUGCUUAGAUAUAACGUAGAACUCCGAUAGCGAAGGCAGCUUACUAGACUGCGACUGACACUGAAGCACGAGAGUGUGGGUAUCGAACAGGAUUAGAUACCCCAGUAGUC